rnacentral:lncRNA from 12 species
AUGGCAAAACUGAAACUCUGUAAGAAAAAGAAAAAAAAAACGAAAAAAAAAAAAAAAAGAAAAAGAGAAAGAAAAAGAAAGGAGAAAAAAGGGGGUGGGGGAAGGAAACAAAUAAAAAAGCAAAACAAAACAAAAACAAAAACAAAAACAAACAAAAAAAGAACCACCGGGGAGUAUCUUCUGAUUCUGUGUUCUUUAAGUCCCUUGGCUUCUCCUGGAAGUUGUCCGUCUAGCUGGUGUUCUGGGGGAGGGGCCUGUUGUGCUGAUUUUCAGGUGUUAGCAGUUGGGGGAGCUGCUGUGCCCCUGCCCGGUGCAGGGCUCAGUGGGGGUUGUUUACCCCGUGAGGCCGCAGGAGGAACAGCCCCAGUGGCGGGCAGCUCUGGAAACCUGGAUUCAGCCCCCGCAGGAACUCCGGAGCUCUCCGUCUGCAGGGCCUGGAGGCUCCGGGGCGGGGCCGCUGAUGUGCUCAGCUGGGGCAGGAGCGUCCUCGCUGUCCUGGGCCCUCCCGGCCUCUGCCUGUCCCGGGGGAGGCGGGAUCCUGGGCUGUGUCCCGGCGCCCUGUGCUCCGGAGCCUGCGCUGGUGGAUUCGCGCUCCCGGGUCGCGCAGCCCCCUCUGCGGAGCUGCCGCCCGAGCCCCUCCGAGCUGCUCCUGGAACCGCGCAGCCCCCUCUGCACGGAGCCUCUUCCUCUGCCCGAGCCCGGCCGAGCUGCUCCCGGGGCCGUGCAUCCCCCUCCGCGGAGCCGCCGCCCGAGCCCCUCCGAGCUGCUCCGGGUCCCGCCUGCGCGCUGCAGCCCUUAGGGAGCUCGGCGCACUCUCCUGGGCACGCAAUUGCUCUGUUAGUGUCCCCGGGAGCCCGAGGGCAUCCCCGCCCUCCUGGGUCCUGCUCCAACUCCCCGGGAGCCCCUUUCCGCCCGGGAAGGUCGGUGCAGCUCCUGCUCCUCCGCGACGGGGCUCUCCUGUCCUGGGGACACUCGCCCCGGCCUCAGCCCGGCUCCUCCUGGGCCCCUCCCCCUUGGAGGCCUUUGUUUCUUUAUUUCUUUUUCCCCGUCUUCCUACCUUGA